AUUGAACGCUGGCGGCAUGCUUUACACAUGCAAGUCGAACGGUAACAGGUUAAGCUGACGAGUGGCGAACGGGUGAGUAAUGCAUCGGAACGUGCCCGAUCGUGGGGGAUAACGCAGCGAAAGCUGCGCUAAUACCGCAUACGAUCUGAGGAUGAAAGCGGGGGACCGUAAGGCCUCGCGCGCGCGGAGCGGCUGAUGCCAGAUUAGGUAGUUGGUGGGGUAAAGGCUCACCAAGCCGACGAUCUGUAGCUGGUCUGAGAGGACGACCAGCCACACUGGGACUGAGACACGGCCCAGACUCCUACGGGAGGCAGCAGUGGGGAAUUUUGGACAAUGGGCGAAAGCCUGAUCCAGCAAUGCCGCGUGCAGGAAGAAGGCCUUCGGGUUGUAAACUGCUUUUGUACGGAGCGAAAAGGCUCUCUCUAAUACAGGGGGCUCAUGACGGUACCGUAAGAAUAAGCACCGGCUAACUACGUGCCAGCCGCCGCCGUAAUAC
rnacentral:rRNA from 1 species